GUGCCAGGAGGGCAGGAGCCCCCCCCCCCCCCCGCCCCGCCCUGGCUCCCAUCACGUUUGGAAAGCAGAGGGGCUGGGGCUAAAGAUGGACCCCAAGACUGGCACUCCGACCACUGAAUGUGUGGCCUGGAGGCAAGCCAAGACACCUUCUAUGGCUGGAAUAUCUGCUGCUGUUAUCCUCAGGGAUCAGUCUUAGCUCUGCAUUCGUUGCCAUGGAGACCAUCUAAGUCUUCUGUUUUUCCCUUCGUGAUGAUCAAGAAAACCUACACACACACCUAUUCAGAAAAUAUUCUAAUACGUGGGCUCACACCCAAAUAAACGACGACGAUGUCCUCUGCAGGAAACAAAAGCAACAGUGUCUGGGGAAAGAAGAGGGAAGCCAGUCUGCUCCAACAACGGGAGAGAGUGUGAAGAAAAUACCAUGACCAGGAACAACUUGCAGAAGGAAGAGGUUAUUUUGGCUUACAGCUCCAGAGAGGUACGAGUCCACCACGAGAGGGAAGCAUCACGCAGCAGACACAGCGGCAAGAACAGGGAGUAACAUCACGCCUUGAACAAGCAUGGAGUAGAGACAGCGAACUGGAAGUGGGGAGGGACUAGAAACACCCAAAGCCCACCCCAAUGACCUACUUCCUGUAGCAAGGCUCCACCCCCCCAAGGUUCCACAUCCUCCCUAAACAGUGCCAACAGCUGAGGACAAAGCCUGUGAAUACCCAAGCUGAUGAAGGACAUUGUAUUGUCAUUCAAACCACCACAGCCAAUAAGAAGAUCUCCUUCCCCACGGAUGCUACAUUCUACUGAGAGGAGACAGAAAAUUAACCAGACAUGCGUCAACAAACAGAAAGCUACUGACUUGUGGCAAACGCUCUGUAGAAAAUGAGGGCGUAUCAUCCUUAGAGGACCCAUUGAGGAGAAAAGCAGCUCGGUGAAGACUGGGGGAAGAUAUUCCUGGGACCGGGAAGAGUAGAGAAAGGAGGGGCCUUAAUGCUUACACAGAAAGAAGAUGGGUGUGUCUAACCUGUGACUCAGGGGCCAUCUGUAUCUCAGGAUAGCCAUAAUGUGGCCCAGUGCAUUUGUGGAUGACAACAUCUGGUCACAAAAGGCUGAGUCCAGAGCCUGGUGGGGAUGAAGAGAGAGCAAAAAAGCCGCAGUUGAAGAGGACCACAGCCUAUGAGAGAAUCGCGGUGGUGAUAGCAUCCAGAGCCGUUGUACUAGUUCCGAAUCCCUGGCGUAAGCUGCUCAAGAAGACCCAGGGUUCAGAGUGCGCCGUGCAAGGUCGCUUGCCUCUGUGUUCCUGUAGUGGGGUACAGCAACGUCACGGGGUCUUCUGAAGACAGGAAGUGUAACGGGCAAGCAGGACGACAGUGGCUGAGACCCAGGACGGGUGUAACCUUCAAAAACACAUACCCCAGGGAUGAACUCCCUCUAACAAGCUCCGUGUCUACCAUCGCCCCAAAUCAUGGCACCAUCUUGAGACCAGGCCUGAGCCUGGGAAACCAUUAGCCACUCUCUAGACACUGUCGGCUCCACCCCUGACCCUGUCUCAGCCUCAGAGGCUCUCACCUCCAGCUGCUGCCUUCCCAUCUCCACUCACUUUAACAAGCGUGGGAAGCUCGGCUGAACUUUCGAACUUCCGGCCUCCCUCCCUCUUUCCAUCUCCGAGGAUGGCAACUCCUCUCCUGCAGAUGCUCAGUCAUCCUUGACUCUCGAUUCUCUCCCACUCCACAUACGAACCUAUCAACCAGUUCUCUCUACUUCCUAAAAUAGACCCACAAGGCACCCCCACUUCUCCACAGCUCCGAUGUCACCAGCCCACGCCGCCACCGCUUCUCCCCUGAAUUUGGAGGAACCUUCUAAUAGGCCUUUUAAAAAUCCCUCUCACUUUUUACAUUACAUUUUACUUUUUACAAAUUUUUAAUUGGCCAGGUGGCGGUGGCACACGCCUUU